AAAGAGACAAUCUUAUUAAUUAAAGAUGCUACAACGUUAGCGAUAUAAUUAGUAUAUUCUAGAUUUUUUUUUACCAAGCAGCUCAGUUAGUAGAUACGAUUCAAAUAGAAAUUUAAAGCACAAUAUGUCACGGUACAACUGAGGGCUACAUCGACACCGGUUGGGGAAUACAAAUCACAAUAUGUCGUACGAGCCGAUUAAUUAUAAGUCGUAAUUAGCACGAAUCUCGAUGAAUCUCUCUUACCCGUUCUCUUUUGUUGAGAUUGAUGGGAGAAAUAGCUAGCGUUCAUUAGGUCAAGCUCCCUUGGAAAAGGUCGUAAAUUUGACCCUUAAUUACUUACCUUGAUAAAGUAGUUAAUUAUGCAAAUGGGGUAUUUAAUUAAUAUAGGCACCACGCAAAUUUCAAAUUUCCCCUCUCAAGUGACAGAGCAAUUAAUACUGGGGGGUCAGUCUCAAAUCUCAAUCGAGCGAGUCUCUUUAGUGCGGGUCAAGCCGUGUGAUGACUAGGAUCUGCAUGGAUGGCGAGCGGUUGGUAUUAUCUCGCCGACAUUAUUUUAUUGUUUAUUAACACUUUUUGCCUACUUGUUGAGCAUGCUAACUCAUGAUGCCUUAUAAAAAUUUGAGGCACAAAUGUACCUGUAUGGCGUGCCUUGUUAUUAAAACUUAGAUUAAUUACCGAUCAUCCCCAGAGCAAGUAGUUAAGGAUUUAGUGGUUGAUAUUCGAGACCCAAGUUUGAAUUCUAAUUUUUUUUUUUUGAGAAAAAUGUAGCAUAUUAUCCGCUUCAUUUAUUCAAGAGAUGAACUUGACUACAUGGGCGAGUUAACCAGACCUCCGGAGAGAUAAAAAGCAGGGUGGAGACGAAAAAAAAAAUAAAAAAAAUAAAAAAAAUCAAUGUCUCACCACAGGACGAUGUUUUUUCCACAGGGACGUCAGCUGCUUAACCUUAUAGCAACUACGGAUUGGAUCAAUCUGAUUCCUCCUAAAGAUCACAUCAUUUUUGGUCUUCCAGAUGACCCACCAGCAGGCUAUUAGUCUAGAUAAACCAUCGCUCAUGGACCGUGCUCCCUUCCUUCCGCUCCAUCUGUCCCAAACCAUAUGCACAUCUUCGCCCAAAUCUCCUGCUUGGAUAUCCUCCAAUGACACCACCACAAAAAAUUUAAAGAAUACACAAUGAGAAAAAAAGCGAUCUACUGUUUCCACCUCAGAUCCACACAGCACACAAUUCGUGUUGCCUAUCCAUCCUCUUUUUAAUAAGUUAUCUACAGUAAGAGGCCUCUUUUUGAGGACGAGCCAACAAAACACAGUUCGAAUCCUAGUUGAUUCAUAUUUCUAGCUAAGUUUAUUUCUAAAUGAAAUAAAUGAAGCAGAUAGCGUGCUAUCUAUCUCUCAAAAAAAAAAAACUUAGAUUAAUUACAUCAUUGGUCCCUAAGUUUCGCACAUUUUCUUACUUGGGACCCUAAAAUUUAAUUGUAAUAAAAUUAAAAGAUUAAGAACUUUAUUGUUAAAAAAGGGGUUGGGACCAAAUUCAAAACGGUGCAAAGGUUGGAGACUAAUGGUGUAAUUAGCUCUUAAAACUUUUUGCCUAUUUAUUGAGCAACUUAUGUUCCCUAAAAAUAAUGAGGUACAAAUGUACGUGCUAUCAUCUAAUUGGAGAAAUUAUUGAGAUAUUUUUCAACUCAUUUAUUAAUGAUGCGUUGAAAAAUUAAUUAAUAUCAUUGUUUGGCAGUUUAAGCUUAAUUUUAAACAAAUUAAUUUAGUUUAUAUUAUACGAUUUCAAAAACCAUUAAUUCAAAAUCCGAACUUAAUCAAUUGCUAGAAGGAUCGACACCCAAUUACUUGUCCUUUUCUUAUUCGCUAGAUCACUUCAUUUUAUUUUCUUAUUGAUCACAAAUUUCCUCUAUUUCUCUUGGAUAGGAUCCAAAUUAACUACACUCAACUACUUAACUUAGUUGAAAAGUAAGCAAUUGAACUUAAAUUUGUUCAUGUAACUAUUUUGAUCCGUGUAAAAUGACAAGGUAGGUGUAUAUAUAUUAAAUCUACGGACACAACAUUGUAACUAACCCGUGAUGGGCCUAUCCCAUCCGUUCCCUCAACAAACAGAAACUAACUAAACCGGGGUUCUCAAGCUGGUUAAUUACCUGUAGUAUUUUCUAAGAUACCUAAUUUUUGUCUAAUUUAAGAAUUGGAUCCAGGACAUGUUAUCUAAUUAUAUUUAAAUGCACAAGCCUUUGCGUUGUCGCAAGGUUUAAUUAGAAUAUGUUGGAGAAACGUUUUUGGAGUUUUAUUUGUAGUUCAUAGUUUAUACAGUAUAUAUGUUAUGUAUUUGUCUAUUGAAUACGCGCGACCACUAAUUGUAUAAUAUAUUAUAGAUACAAGCUACUCUAAUACUAUAUGAAAUAAUAUGAAAUAAUCGUUUAUUUUUGGUGUUUAAUAUUUUUAUAUUCUAUCGUUCAAAUGUGACCACUACUUAUUGAUCAAAUAGUACCUACUUGGAUCAAUAUCAUUUGUUAUCAUUAAUAAAUAGAAGAUACAUAACUCAUAUAUGGUACGGUUGGUGCAAAGAUCUACUCUUAACUGGUUAAGUUUGCCAGUGUUAAAUAUAAAUAAUUAAAAGCAUCACAAUUUCUUUAUUAUGAGUUUAAGUUUCUAUAACAACAAAUUAAGUAAUUUCACAUAUUUAAUCAUAUAUACCUCUGCAUUUCUCUCAUUAACUUCGUGUUUGGCUCGGGUAAUAUUUGUGCAUCAUGAUCCGCUUGAUGCAAGUUGAAUUAAUUAAUGUUGCCCCUCCGGGGAAUAUAAUUAAUUAGUAUUUAGUAGUUAAUUAGUACCUGAUCUGGGGACUGAAUCUUAAAGACAAUUAAUGUACUUUAACAAUGGCUGGUUAGAUCAGAAUAGAAACAUAUAUAUUAUCCAAUUAUCCACUUCUCAUGGUUUGCACUAGUCUUAUUUUCAAUGGAUCACCUGUCCAAGGAUG
rnacentral:lncRNA from 1 species